rnacentral:rRNA from 1 species
AGAUUGAACGCUGGCGGCAGGCCUAACACAUGCAAGUCGAGCGGUAGAGAGGUGCUUGCACCUCUUGAGAGCGGCGGACGGGUGAGUAAUGCCUAGGAAUCUGCCUAGGUGGUGGGGGAUAACGGUUCGGAAACGGACGCUAAUACCGCAUACGUCCGUACGGGAGAAAGGCGGGGACCUUCGGGCCUCGCGCCAUUAGAUGAGCCUAGGUCGGAUUAGCUAGUUGGUGAGGUAUGGCUCACCGAGGCGACGAUCCGUAACUGGUCUGAGAGGAUGAUCAGUCACACUGGAACUGACGACACGGUACCAGUACCUCGUACGGGAGCAGCGAGGUGGGAAUAGUUGGAACGAAGUGGGGACAAAGCCUAGACUCCAGCCCA